GGAGAGGUGCCAGAGUGGUCGAAUGGGCUCGCCUGGAAAGCGAGUGUACGGGUCAAACCGUACCGAGGGUUCGAAUCCCUCCCUCUCCGCCA
rnacentral:tRNA from 1 species